GACGAACGCUGGCGGCGUGCCUAAUACAUGCAAGUAGAACGCUGAAGAGAGGAGCUUGCUCUUCUUGGAUGAGUUGCGAACGGGUGAGUAACGCGUAGGUAACCUGCCUGGUAGCGGGGGAUAACUAUUGGAAACGAUAGCUAAUACCGCAUAAAAUUGAUUAUUGCAUGAUAAUUAAUUGAAAGAUGCAAUUGCAUCACUACCAGAUGGACCUGCGUUGUAUUAGCUAGUUGGUGAGGUAACGGCUCACCAAGGCGACGAUACAUAGCCGACCUGAGAGGGUGAUCGGCCACACUGGGACUGAGACACGGCCCAGACUCCUACGGGAGGCAGCAGUAGGGAAUCUUCGGCAAUGGGGGGAACCCUGACCGAGCAACGCCGCGUGAGUGAAGAAGGUUUUCGGAUCGUAAAGCUCUGUUGUAAGAGAAGAACGGGAGUGAGAGUGGAAAGUUCACACUGUGACGUAUCUACCAGAAAGG
rnacentral:rRNA from 1 species